rnacentral:misc_RNA from 1 species
GAUCUGGAGCCUGGUACCAUGGAUAGUAUUAGAUCUGGUCCUUAUGGACAGAUCUUCCGUCCUGAUAACUUUGUGUUUGGACAAUCUGGUGCGGGUAAUAAUUGGGCGAAAGGGCAUUAUACUGAAGGCGCUGAAUUGAUUGAUGCUGUUCUUGAUGUUGUUCGUAAGGAAGCUGAAAACUGUGAUUGCCUUCAAGGGUUUCAAGUUUGCCAUUCAUUGGGUGGAGGAACAGGAUCUGGUAUGGGUACCCUUUUGAUUUCUAAGAUCAGAGAGGAGUACCCAGACAGAAUGAUGCUUACGUUUUCGGUUUUCCCUUCACCUAAGGUUUCCGAUACCGUCGUUGAACCUUACAAUGCUACUCUGUCUGUUCAUCAAUUGGUUGAAAAUGCUGAUGAAUGUAUGGUUCUUGACAAUGAGGCUUUAUAUGAUAUUUGCUUCAGAACCUUGAAGCUUACCACCCCAAGCUUUGGAGAUUUGAAUCAUUUGAUAUCAGCAACAAUGUCUGGUGUUACCUGUUGUUUGCGUUUCCCUGGUCAGUUGAACUCUGAUCUCCGUAAGCUGGCUGUGAAUCUGAUUCCAUUCCCAAGGCUCCAUUUCUUUAUGGUUGGGUUUGCA